UUUCUUCCAUCUUUGGCAUAUGAUCAAAAAUGGCAUCUUUUGGGGGAUUUCUUAGCCUGUGAUUUUCAUUACCGCACUAAACCUGGUUUGGAAGAGUCUCAAGAAUAGAUCCACAAGAUUAGGAACACUAUCUCUUCAAAACAUGUCCAGAAUAUCGAAAACGUUUUCAAAAAUUAGCACUUCGACAACUGUCGAGUUCGACACGUCCAUCAAAUGUUAGAGACUUAGUGUAUUUUUGAAUCCAAAGGCAGUUGAGAUUCUGGAAGAGACCGGAGAUUCUAGACAAAGGAAGUUGAGAGAUUUAAAAGUAGUUAUCAACAUAGGUGACAGUUUAAAGUCGUUCAGAUGUUGAAGACGCGUAGAAGCCAUGCAAAUCCCAAUAACUCAGUACUUGUAAACGUGUUGGGCGAUGGGAAAGUAACCAUCGUCGACAGUUAAUUUUCACUAUAUAAAUCGAAUUUAAGCAUUGUAAUUAAGGUAUGAAAAUUUCAUUAAGUUCUCUAUAAAAUCCAAUAUCCAAGUCACAGAGAUUCAUAGAUUCAACAAUAAAUAUAUGAUCAU
rnacentral:lncRNA from 1 species